CUUUCAGUUCGGCUGGAUACCACACAGGUGCUGCAUGGCUGUCGUCAGCUCGUGUCGUGAGAUGUCGGUUAAGUCCGGCAACGAGCGCAACCCACACUCUUAGUUGCCAUCAUUCAGUUGGGCACUCUAGGAGAACUGCCGGUGAUAAGCCGGAGGAAGGUGUGGAUGACGUCAAGUCCUCAUGGCCCUUACGGUUGGGCUACACACGUGCUACAAUGGUGGUGACAAUGGGUUAAUCCCAAAAAGCCAUCUCAGUUCGGAUUGGGGUCUGCAACUCGACCCCAUGAAGUCGGAAUCGCUAGUAAUCGCGUAACAGCAUGACGCGGUGAAUACGUUCCCGGGCCUU
rnacentral:rRNA from 1 species